rnacentral:rRNA from 1 species
UACGAAGGGUGCAAACGCUGCUCGGAAUCAUUGGGCGUAAAGCGCACGUAGGCGGCUUCGCAAGUCGGAUGUGAAAUCCCUCGGCUCAACCGAGGACGUGCAUACGAAACUGCGGAGCUUGAGUGCUGAAGAGGAUCGCGGAAUUCCCGGUGUAGAGGUGAAAUUCGUAGAUAUCGGGAGGAACACCAGUGGCGAAGGCGGCGAUCUGGGCAGACACUGACGCUGAGGUGCGAAAGCGUGGGGAGCAAACAGG